AUGGAAAGACCUCGGUCCUUCAGGGCCUGCACUUUCAGCUUCUCUGCCUCCAAUUUGGUCUGCUGUUCCACCCUUUGCUCUUCUAGAAUUUCUUCAAUGGAUACUUGCUGGAGGGGUGUGUCACUCUCCUUUUCCAAGUCUAUUUCUCCUAGUAGGACCACACAGGCCCUGAGCUGCCUGGUGGCCCAUGGGAAACAGCUGUUCCUCAUCACCAACAGUCCUUUCAGCUUUGUAGACAAGGGGAUGCGGCACAUGGCGGGUCCUGAUUGGUGCCAGCUCUUUGAUGUGGUCAUCGUCCAGGCGGACAAGCCCAGCUUCUUCACUGACCGGCGCAAGCCUUUCAGAAAACUCGACGAGAAGGGCUCGCUUCAGUGGGACCGGAUCACCCACCUGGAAAAGGGCAAGAUCUAUCAGCAGGGAAACCUGUUUGACUUCCUACGCUUGCCGGAAUGGCGUGGCCCCCACAUGCUCUACUUCGGGGACCACCUCUAUAGUGACCUGGCGGAUCUCAUGCUGUGGCAUGGCUUGCGCAUGGGCGCCAUCAUCCCCAAGCUGGAGCACGAGAUCCGCAUCAACACAGAGCAGUACAUGCUCUUGCUGACGUGGCAGCAGGCGCUCCAGGGCUGCUGGAGUGCAUGCAGACCUAUCAGGACUCGGAGUCAAGGCAGGUGCUGGCUGCCUGGAUGAAAGAGUGGCAGAAGCUGAGGUGCAUCACCAAGGCCCUGUUCAAUGCGCAGUUUGGCAGCAUCUUCCGAACCUUCCACAACCCACCUACUUCUCAAGGCGCCUCGUGCGCUUCUCUGACCUCUACAUGGCCCCCCUCAGCUGCCUUCUCAACUACCGUGUGGACUUCACCCUCUACCCGCGCCACACACACCUGCAGCCUGAGGCCCCACUCUGGAUGGACCAGCUCUGCACCGGCUACAUGAAGACUCCCUUCCUCGGUGACAUGGCUCACAUCUGAUGAGGGCAGCUUUAUUGUCCCGGACAGGCUCCCCACCCUUCCUGCCCCAUCUAACCAGGGCAUCCACCCAGACAAGCAAUAAAAAUGGUCUCCUCCCUGAAAAAAAAAAAGGCCCAGAGCCCUGAAGAUCUCUGGAGUUUUCGGUCUGGGUGGAGGCUCAGCUGCCUGUGGUUGCAGAGGGGCAAACCCAGAGAAACUGUCUUGAUCCACCACAGACGCCACGACAGUUGCCUUGCCUAGGUAAUCCUUCUUGGCCAGCUGAGCCAUUUGGUCGAAACAGUCUGCCCACAGGGAUCACCACGGGCUCAUACAGCUUCUGCUUCCAGACACACUCCAUAGCCUUGUCGAUUUUGGAAUGUCUGGGCUCAGACUUCAUGCUAGUGGCCAAUGCUAACUGUUCCUCAGCUUUUUUCCAUUCCUCCUUCUUGGCAUACAUGAAAGCAAUGUUAUAUAACACCUCAUAGGCAAACAGCUUGAACUGAAGCCCCAGGAUUUCUGUGAGAGAUUCCUUAGCAUUUCUAUGGUGCUAAGCACCCUAGAUUAAUGUUCCAGAGAUGGAACUCUGGAAUGCAGAUUUCCAUAUAAGGCAUAUAUACACUUCACAUUCUUGAUGAUUAUCAAGAAUGAUAAACUUUCAAAUGUUUAUCAUAUGCGGAAAACACUCAUAGCCUCACCAAUGGGCCCUUUUUACAGGAGUGACUCCAUGCCUGUAUGCAGAGUACUUUUUUUUUUUCCCAUGGUUUCUCAAUUUUAAUAUCCUUCAUCCAAAAUUAAGCCCACGAAUCUUCCAGCUCAUCUCUAAAUGUAUGGUAACUGCACCAUGUGGAAGAAUAGCAGUUGUUACACUCCUGUGCACCCCCAUUCUGCUCUCAGUACCCUACAGCAGGCUUGCCCAUCAUCAGAAGACUGAAUCAGUUACUAUUUUCUUUCCUCCGUUAAUCAUAAAUGGAAGUAGCCUUGAUUCUCUUCUUUGAAGCUUAAAAUUGAUAUUAUUUCCUAUUGCCCAGUUUUCUGCAUGAUUCCUCUUCUGCCUCUAAUCGUUUUAAACAGUUAGUGAUUUCUUUCUUUAAAUUUUCUUCUGCCAAGUCACAGGACAUCUCUUUAAGCUUCACUCUCUUCUCCAAGGUAAACCAGUCACACUUAAAUCCCAAAGAUAAUCUGAGAAAUUCUGUGUAGAGUCUUGGAAUGCAGUAAUAUCAUGAGCUGGACUUGUACCUUGGGCCUGUAUCAUCGGAGAAGCUGAUCUUGUAUCCUCCUCUUUCUUACUCUCAAGGUCACAAGUAGCCAUAUUCAGAAUUUCUAAUCCAGAAUCACUUGAAGUUAUAGUACUGUCUGUCAAUGAAGUGGGUCUGGGUAACGGUAGUGAGGAAUGUUCCCUGGACUGCAGCAGGCUCUCAGAACACACGCGUUCAACGUCAUUCUCUUCCAUGCUUGGCUCAUCAUUCAUCCUGAUGCAGCCUGAGAGAUUUGUUCCUUGGUUGGGGCCACCUGUGGGGCCUGGGCACUUGUGAUGUCUUGUUACACCCAAAGCACCGUCCUUUACUUCUCCAUAUGUGAGCCUUUCACACAAAGCAUGGAUUCAGUUGGCUACACCUGAGAAGGGUGUUGAUUCCAGGGUUGGAACUACUGUAAAACUAUCCAGAGAUAAGGCAUCCAGCAGAGGUGUGUACCAGCAUGUAUGUUUCAAGGUCAGGGGUGUCUGAUGUAUUCUUGCUUCUUGACCACCAUACGGUUUGUGGCAACACUGCUUCAAUUUUUCUUGAAGAGGCUGUUGAAUUGCAUUUUUGCAGGAGAGGGAAUCAUAGUGAGGGAAUUCCUCAUCUAAAACGCUCUGAAACAACAAGCCAUGGUGUUCGCCUUCAAUUAACCUCUUUCGAAGUGACUCAACUGUUGUUUUCAGUUUCCUUGUCUUCUGCUGAAGUGCCUGGCAAGUGUUCGAUAACUCAGUUUAUAGUUUGAAGGUUCCAUUGUUCCCAAAUUGCUUCCUCUAAUUUAUGCCAUAAAGACAUAGCUUUUUCACUGGCAGAGUGGGCUUCUCGAUCUUGAUCCUUAACCUGCUCCUCUGCAUCCUCCAGCCAUUGGCUGGCUUCUUGGAGCCUCUUUCUCAGGAUGCCUUCCUGGUUGACAGCAUUUUCUUGCAGUUGUUUAAUGGCUUCUAGUUGUUUCUGACUGGCAAGAAAUUCUUUUCUGAAAUAAAAAUGUUCCUGCCUGAAUCUCUCCUGUGAUUAAUGUUCCAGAGAACAUUCUUGAUUUGGCUUAGCAGAGUAUGACAUACUGGUUUUUUAGUGUCCAUACAAUAUACAUACACCCAGUAGUAUGUAUAUUAAGCAUGCACUUAGUGGUAAUGGAUUUUUUCUCCAUGGCCUAAAUCAAGACCAUUAGAAAGCGCUGGGCCGUGGGAGCAGUAACCAUCUGAUGACUGUCUUAUGCAUCCGGGUCCAGGGACAUGGGCGAUGUGCCUCGUCUGUGUUAGAGGGUGGGAGGGGUGUGUUUGGCGCUGCAUGGGAUCUGCUGCUCCUCUCCUGGAUUCACAUCCCUACCCAGGGCCCGCUUUCACUAGGUGUUCUGCCCUAUCCUGGUUCAAGGAGGUCAUCCAGCUGACUUUACCAAGCAGAAUUGGGAUAGAUUUGAUAUACAUUUGUCUGACAACAUGGAAAAGGGUUUUCCUCCUCCUUUCCCUCCAAGGUACAUUCUACUGCUUCGAACUUCCAAGUAUAUCUAGUGACCUUUUAAAAUAUAAACGUUUUCAGAAAAAUGAGGGUUGCUUUCCUUGUAUGGGCUUAUUUUCUUGACUACCUGAACUGCAAGGGAUUUUUAUAUAUUCAUAUGUUCCAAAGUCAGCAAUUCUCCUGUGGGUUCAUUAUUGAAUGUGCUAUAAAUGAAGUCUUUUGCAAUUAAAAAAAGAUUUGCCCACAUCCAAAAAAAAA